GAGGAUGAGGAUCUGCUGACAAAGUGAGGAGCCUUCUGCAGAGAAGAUGGAGCUGGAGGAAGACCUGGUCUCUGGACCAGAUGAAGAAGAAAAGAUAACAGAAAAUAUAUCACUCAAGUCAGAAGACGUCACUCAGGAAUACCUUAACAGCAGGGACACAGGAAUAUGCUUUACACUGACCCACUCGACAGAAACGAGGUCAUAUGGGAAUACUUCGUCACUCACUGAACACAAGACAUAUUGUUUUGCUUUGAUCUAAUAAAUUAUGAAUAUUAUUCAUAUUUUUUGCAUGUGUAUAUGUUUCAGAGGGGAUAUGGGAGUGCACCUCACGAAUAUCAUCAGUAGCCUCUGACUAUUGGAUUACUUUCAUUUUUCUCACCUUCAAUCUUACUCUUUAAAAAUAAUUUUUAAUGUUUUUUAUUUUAUUUUUUUUUUAUAUAUAUAUAUUUU